AUUGAACGCUGGCGGCAGGCCUAACACAUGCAAGUCGAGCGGAUGAAGGGAGCUUGCUCCUGGAUUCAGCGGCGGACGGGUGAGUAAUGCCUAGGAAUCUGCCUGGUAGUGGGGGAUAACGUCCGGAAACGGGCGCUAAUACCGCAUACGUCCUGAGGGAGAAAGUGGGGGAUCUUCGGACCUCACGCUAUCAGAUGAGCCUAGGUCGGAUUAGCUAGUUGGUGGGGUAAAGGCCUACCAAGGCGACGAUCCGUAACUGGUCUGAGAGGAUGAUCAGUCACACUGGAACUGAGACACGGUCCAGACUCCUACGGGAGGCAGCAGUGGGGAAUAUUGGACAAUGGGCGAAAGCCUGAUCCAGCCAUGCUGCGUGUGUGAAGAAGGUCUUCGGAUUGUAAAGCACUUUAAGUUGGGAGGAAGGGCAGUAAGUUAAUACCUUGCUGUUUUGACGUCACCAACAGAAUAAGCACCGGCUAACUUCGUG
rnacentral:rRNA from 1 species